CAGCAGCCACGGGAACACGAACCGUGCGAACGUUAUUCGGAAUUACUGGGCUUAAAGCGCGUGUAGGCGGGCCGCCACGUCGGUUGCUGAAAUCCCCCGGCUCAACCGGGGAAGUGGCAUCGAUGCGAGCGGCCUUGAGGGGGGUAGGGGGAUCUGGAACUUCCGGUGGAGCGGUGAAAUGCGUUGAGAUCGGAAGGAACGCCCGUGGCGAAAGCGAGGUCCUGGACCCUUUCUGACGCUGAGACGCGAAAGCCAGGGGAGCGAACGGGAUUAGAUACCCCAGUAGUCCCUGUCUCUUAUA
rnacentral:rRNA from 1 species